UUAAGCGACUAAGCGUACACGGUGGAUGCCCUGGCAGUCAGAGGCGAUGAAGGGCGUACUAAUCUGCGAUAAGCGCCGGUAAGGUGAUAUGAACCGUUAUAACCGGCGAUACCCGAAUGGGGAAACCCAGUGUGAUUCGUCACACUAUCAUUAACUGAAUCCAUAGGUUAAUGAGGCGAACCGGGGGAACUGAAACAUCUAAGUACCCCGAGGAAAAGAAAUCAACCGAGAUUCCCCCAGUAGCGGCGAGCGAACGGGGAGGAGCCCAGAGCCUGAAUCAGCAUGUGUGUUAGUGGAAGCGUCUGGAAAGGCGCGCGAUACAGGGUGACAGCCCCGUACACAAAAGCGCAUGUGCUGUGAGCUCGAUGAGUAGGGCGGGACACGUGGUAUCCUGUCUGAAUAUGGGGGGACCAUCCUCCAAGGCUAAAUACUCCUGACUGACCGAUAGUGAACCAGUACCGUGAGGGAAAGGCGAAAAGAACCCCGGCGAGGGGAGUGAAAAAGAACCUGAAACCGUGUACGUACAAGCAGUGGGAGCACAGGUUUACCUG
rnacentral:rRNA from 1 species